CAUAAGUACAUGCCAAUCCCAACAGUAAAAAAGCAAGUAAAGUAGCCGUCUUCAUUGUUCUUGAAAAAUGCUCAAUCUUCAGCUUGAUGUUUGCAAUGAAAAAUUUGACUGUGAAAAUCUUUCUGUCAUGCACUGUCCCUUUUAUACACUUUCACAUCCUUGCAUUCUUUCCAUUAGGAAAACGUUUCCAUGAUUUGUUUGCAGACGAAAGUACUUUCAAGUGUGGAAAUGUAUUGGAUGAG